rnacentral:rRNA from 1 species
UACGAAGGGGGCUAGCGUUGCUCGGAAUUACUGGGCGUAAAGGGAGCGUAGGCGGAUAGUUUAGUCAGAGGUGAAAGCCCAAGGCUCAACCUUGGAAUUGCCUUUGAUACUGGCUAUCUUGAGUAUGGGAGAGGUUAGCGGAACUCCGAGUGUAGAGGUGAAAUUCGUAGAUAUUCGGAAGAACACCAGUGGCGAAGGCGGCUAACUGGCCCAUUACUGACGCUGAGGCUCGAAAGCGUGGGGAGCAAACAGGAUUAGAAACCCGAGUAGU